GUGCUUGCUUCAGCAGCACAUAUACUAAAACUGGAAUGAUACAGAGAUUAACAUGGCCCCUGCACAAGGAUAACAGGCCAAUUUGUGAAAAUUUCCAUAGUUUU
ensembl:snRNA U6 U6 spliceosomal RNA